rnacentral:rRNA from 1 species
AGCGAACGCUGGCGGCAGGCUUAACACAUGCAAGUCGAGCGGGCGCAGCAAUGCGUCAGCGGCAGACGGGUGAGUAACGCGUGGGAACGUACCUUUUGGUUCGGAACAACACAGGGAAACUUGUGCUAAUACCGGAUAAGCCCUUACGGGGAAAGAUUUAUCGCCGAAAGAUCGGCCCGCGUCUGAUUAGCUAGUUGGUAGGGUAAUGGCCUACCAAGGCGACGAUCAGUAGCUGGUCUGAGAGGAUGAUCAGCCACAUUGGGACUGAGACACGGCCCAAACUCCUACGGGAGGCAGCAGUGGGGAAUAUUGGACAAUGGGCGCAAGCCUGAUCCAAGCCAUGCCGCGUGAGUGAUGAAGGCCCUAGGGUUGUAAAGCUCUUUUGUGCGGGAAGAUAAUGACGGUACCGCAAGAAUAAGCCCCGGCUAACUUCGUGCCAGCCGCCGCGGUAA